rnacentral:rRNA from 1 species
UGGGGAAUAUUGCACAAUGGACGGAAGUCUGAUGCAGCAACGCCGCGUGCGGGAUGACGGCCUUCGGGUUGUAAACCGCUUUUUCUCAUGACGAAGUUUUUUGACGGUAGUGGGGGAAGAAGCACCGGCUAACUACGUGCCAGCAGCCGCGGUGAUACGUAGGGUGCGAGCGUUGUCCGGAAUUAUUGGGCGUAAAGAGCUUGUAGGCGGUUUGUCGCGUCGAUAGUGCAAACUCAGUGCUUAACGCUGAGCCUGCUGUUGAUACGGGCAGACUAGAGGAAGGUAGGGGAGAAUGGAAUUCCCGGUGGAGCGGUGGAAUGCGCAGAUAUCGGGAGGAACACCGGUGUCGAAGGCGGUUCUCUGGGCCUUUCCUGACGCUGAGAAGCGAAAGCGUGGGGAGCGAACAGG